rnacentral:rRNA from 1 species
GGGACGGGUGAGUCGCGUGAGAAUCUGGCUCCAGGUCGGGGAUAACAGUUGGAAACGACUGCUAAUACCGGAUGUGCCGAGAGGUGAAAGAUUUAUGCCGGAGAUGAGCUCGCGUCUGAUUAGCUAGUUGGUGGUGUAAGGGACCACCAAGGCGUCGAUCAGUAGCUGGUCUGAGAGGAUGAUCAGCCACACUGGGACUGAGACACGGCCCAGACUCUACGGGAGGCAGCAGUGGGGAAUUUUCCGCAAUGGGCGAAACCUGACGGAGCAAUACCGCGUGAGGGAGGAAGGCUCUUGGGUCGUAAACCUCUUUUCUCAAGGAAGAAGAAAGUGACGGUACUUGAGGAAUAAGCAUCGGCUAACUCCGUGCCAGCAGCCGCGGUAAUACGGAGGAUGCAAGCGUUAUCCGGAAUGAUUGGGCGUAAAGGGUCUCAGGUGGAACUGAAAGUCUGCUGUUAAAGAGUUUGGCUUAACCAAAUAAAAGCGGUGGAAACUACAGAACUAGAGUGCGGUAGGGGCAAAAGGAAUUCCUGGUGUAGCGGUGAAAUGCGUAGAUUCAGGAAGAACCCGGUGGCGAAAGCGUUUUGCUAGACCGUAACUGACACUGAGGGACGAAAGCUAGGGGAGCGAAUGGGAUUAGAUACCCCAGUACCUAGCG